ACGUAGGGAGCGAGCGUUGUCCGGAAUUACUGGGCGUAAAGGGUGCGUAGGCGGCGCAGUUAGUCAGAAGUGAAAUAUCGGGGCUUAACUCCGGGACUGCUUCUGAUACUGCUGUGCUCGAGUGCAGGAGAGGUAAGUGGAAUUCCUAGUGUAGCGGUGAAAUGCGUAGAUAUUAGGAGGAACACCAGUGGCGAAGGCGACUUACUGGACUGUAACUGACGCUGAGGCACGAAAGCGUGGGUAGCAAACAG
rnacentral:rRNA from 1 species